CCUACGGGAGGCUGCAGUGGGGAAUAUUGGACAAUGGGGGCAACCCUGAUCCAGCCAUGCCGCGUGUGUGAAGAAGGCCCUCGGGUUGUAAAGCACUUUCAGUGAGGAAGAACGCCUGGUGGUUAAUACCCAUCAGGAAAGACAUCACUCACAGAAGAAGCACCGGCUAACUCCGUGCCAGCAGCCGCGGUAAUACGGAGGGUGCGAGCGUUAAUUGGAAUUACUGGGCGUAAAGCGCGCGUAGGUGGCUUGAUAAGCCGGUUGUGAAAGCCCCGGGCUCAACCUGGGAACGGCAUCCGGAACUGUCAAGCUAGAGUGCAGGAGAGGAAGGUAGAAUUCCCGGUGUAGCGGUGAAAUGCGUAGAGAUCGGGAGGAAUACCAGUGGCGAAGGCGGCCUUCUGGACUGACACUGACACUGAGGUGCGAAAGCGUGGGUAGCAAACAGGAUUAGAUACCCGAGUAGUC
rnacentral:rRNA from 1 species